rnacentral:lncRNA from 1 species
GAUGAGAGAGAGGAAGAAACGGCCAUUACUGUGAUAGUGUGAGCCAGGGUAAGCUUGGUGCUACCUCUUUUCUUUUGUUGUUAUGUUCUUUGAAAUAAGAGUAUUGAGAGUUUCUGAAUAUUAUGAAGUGAAUCAUGGAAUGAAAGUGUGAUUGAAAUUAUAUGUUAUUGAAUGAGAAGAAGAGAGAUUGAAUGCUGAAAUCUGAAUGUAGUUCAGCAGAAAGAGUGAAUCUGUGGUUGUGUGAAACACUGUAAUGUGAAUGGUAGUUAUGUGUGAAGAAUUCCAGUAAUUGGAAUGAGGGUAAUUGUGUGCUGAAGCUGUGAUGUUGCGGUAUUACAGUUGGAGGUUAUAAGAGUGAAGAUAUAUUGGUGGAAAUAAUAGUUAUUGGUAUGACUGAAUUGUUGUAAGGAAGAAAUUGAUAAGGUGAAAGGAGAGAUUAUAGUUUCCUUGUGUACUUAGACAAUGGAAAUAGAGACGAUACAUUGGAGGUAAUUAAUUGUGUGACCCUAACGUGAACGCUUAAGCAACUAGUCACUCC